rnacentral:rRNA from 1 species
UCGACCUCAGAUCAAGCGAGAUUAC